CAACCUCCUCAACCAUCUGUGAGACAGUCAGCUGAAGUUGUGAAGACUUGAAGGUGUGAUAACCGUAGCCAUGCUGAAGGCAGUAUUUGUGCUUGGAUGCCUCCUGAGCCUCACUCUGGCUCAUCCUAAGUUCAACAGAUAUUGGUUCGGUCCCCAUCGCAUUCCUAACCAUGGCUCUCCCAGUGGUUCUCAUUCCCAUGAGUGUCCCACCACCAAGACUACAACAACAACAGCUGCACCAACAACUACUACAACAGCUACUACAACAGCUGCACCAACAAAUCCACUGAACUCAUUCAUAAAUAUACUCCAGGGUUUCUUAAGGGGCACUCAGGGAAACUAAACUACUACUGCAUUGAUUUUUAAUAUCAGCUUUGUUUUAUUUCAUAGCUAUUUCUUUUCAUUGUACUUAAUUUAGACAUAUGGAUUAAAAUCACUGUAUUCUCUGUCAUAU